GUUGUAAUGCGGCUUGCCAUAGGUUUGGCAAACGGUCACAAGCCCGUAAAACGCAGAGUGCAAA
rnacentral:ribozyme from 2 species